rfam:Cajanus cajan Scaffold133680_4, whole genome shotgun sequence.
AGUAAGCAACCUAGAGAAGUAAGCGACGAAAUGCUUUGGGGAGUUGAAAAUAAGCAUAGGUCCGGGGAUCCUCGAUAUAGGUUAACCUUUCGAACAACUGUUGAAUUCAUAGGUAGGCAAAAGACAACUUAAUGAACUGAAACAUCUUAGUAGCUAGAAGAAAAGAAAGCAAAAGCGAUUCCUGUAGUAGAGGCGAGUGAAAUGAGAGCAGCCUAAACCUCGAACUGCUAUCUUAGAAAUUUACU